GACGAACGCUGGCGGCGUGCUUAACACAUGCAAGUCGAACGGAAAGGCCCUGCUUUUGUGGGGUGCUCGAGUGGCGAACGGGUGAGUAACACGUGAGUAACCUGCCCUUGACUUUGGGAUAACUUCAGGAAACUGGGGCUAAUACCGGAUAGGUGCUCCUGCUGCAUGGUGGGGGUUGGAAAGUUUCGGCGGUUGGGGAUGGACUCGCGGCUUAUCAGCUUGUUGGUGGGGUAGUGGCUUACCAAGGCUUUGACGGGUAGCCGGCCUGAGAGGGUGACCGGCCACAUUGGGACUGAGAUACGGACCAGACUCCUACGGGAGGCAGCAGUGGGGAAUAUUGCACAAUGGGCGGAAGCCUGAUGCAGCAACGCCGCGUGCGGGAUGACGGCCUUCGGGUUGUAAACCGCUUUCGCCUGUGACGAAGCGUGAGUGACGGUAAUGGGUAAAGAAGCACCGGCUAACUACGUG
rnacentral:rRNA from 1 species